rnacentral:lncRNA from 1 species
CCUCCCGUACCACUUCCGGGCACGUAAAGCACGCCAAAGGAGAGCCGAACACGCUCUAAGCAUUACGUCACGCGGCAAUGAGUCUCCUCACCUUUCAGGACCGUCCCGCCUUCCCACCCCCGCCCAAUGCAGGGAACGUUUUAUCGCGAGCUUUGGAAAGGUGGCAACUCCACGUGUUGGGUUGUUGGAAGACGCUGUCAGUAUACCACGUCAAGUUCAAUCAUAGAGUAAGCCAUUCCUUUGAAAAUGACGAACAAACUCUCCAGUUAUCACGGCUGACAAAAUGCAAAGAAUACAGAUCAUUAUAAGCAGCCACCAUCAGAGCUUUUGGCGGAAACAACAUAAGGAAGCUUCAAAUGCUCUUAAGAAAGAAGAAUAGCCAAGAAUGUAGCAUUGUUCAACACCUGAAUUGUGAGAAGACAUCCACCGGAGAAAAUGAACCAUUCCAGAAUAACAUUGGCUUGAGUUCUUGUUCUUUAAACAUAACAAGAAAGGCCAGAGAGCUAUGACCUGCAAAGGCAUAAGGAUCAAUGGUUCUGAUUGACGACAUUGCAAUAAUAUUGGGAAAGAGUAAUUAUUUCUGUUGUGAUGAAUGACGGUGACCAGCGGAAUCUCAUCCAAAAGACCUCUUGAGCCUUUGAAAGGAUCCAAGGCUUUGUGUUUGCCUAAUUGCACCGUUUAGCUUACUGUGCUUUUAAAAAUGUGUGACUGGGGGAAAAUAAAUAAAUUUCUAAAGAGGUGCA